CUCAAACUACACACAGCCAUUACACACAGCUAGCAGGCAUUACUCACACUACACACAGCUAGCCAUAGAGUAAUGCCUACUGGCUGUGUGUAAUGGCUGUGUGUAAUGUGUAG